AAAAUAUUAAAUAAUAAAAUCUCGGGGCCUAAAAAUAUAGGCCAAGAACCCUCGGGUGGGAUUACAGGCCCACGGGGUGAGAAGAGGGGAAUGGGCUGCUGUGUGCAGCCCUAAAUUUUAUUUUUUUUUUUUUUUCGUUUUUUUUUUUUUUUUUUUUUUUUUUUUUUUUUUUUUUUUUUUGUAUUCAAUUAUAUUAUAUGCAUGUAUAAUUUUAAUGAAUCACAUAUUUACUUUGAUGCAUAUGCAAAUAAUAGUUUCAAUGCAUGUACAUAUGUAAGAUUCAAUUCAUGACAAAUAUCA
rnacentral:lncRNA from 1 species